GUUUCCAAGGGAACGGGUGGCAACGGUUGCCAUGCCGCUGGGCUAAAACAGGAAGUGGCCACGGCUCUGAGGGCGCUGAGAGACAAACUGCUGGCUGAACAGAAGGAGAAGGAGGUGAGAGGACGGAAAGAAUGAAACUAUGAGACGUGUCGAAGACUUAAAGACAAAGACAAGAAAGAAAUGUAAUCAACAAAGAGUGUGUGUGUGUGUGUGUGUGUGUGUGUGUGUGUGUGUGUGUGUGCAUGUGUGUGUUGCAGCAUCUGGCCGGCAGCAGCAGUGUUUCCAAGCGGAAACAUCUGGAGCGCUGGGAGCUGCAGGAGUGUUCAGAGCAGCAGCUCAGCAGCUUGAGAGCAUCACUACAACAGGACGUACACGCUCUGAGCUCCGAGCUGGUGGCCCACCUGUUGGUACGAGACCAGCUGAGGACGAAGCAGGACGCCAUGCUGCUGGACGUGCAGGACCUGACCUAACAUCAGGACCACACACACCACCAGAACAUCCGUCCACUCUGGGACCAGGACGGGCUGCUCGUCCACGUCAGACCAGGAGACUUCAACAAAAUGUAAGCAGACCUGCUAAUUAAUGGAAACUGACAAAUCACCAGCAGUCUGGACAACAAAGAGGGAAACACGACUCAGAUUCAAAGGAAAUCACCUAAAAAAACACAAAAGUCAUAAUGACAAUUCUGUUCUGAGAUCAACGACAAAUAACCAACGUGAAACCAACAGGAGUUUGAUCACAGACUGACGACACUUCAAGGAAACACCUGUUAAGUUGUCGGUGUGAGUAGAAACCUGAAACUGACAGGAAGUCAGUGUUAAAACCAACAGAGGAACAAAGAUUCAGUUGGAUUGUUUGGAAGCUGAAUCCAAACGUCUACAAUCAGCUUCGGUUGGAAGAGAUAAGACAAGAAGGCAGAAGAGGGCUGGAUGCUUCCAACAUCUGACAGAACGUACGACGCUCAGAACAUCACAGAACAAUCAGUCCAGUUUCUAUAGACGGGUCGGGCCGACACACAUCAACACACACCGACACACAGCGACACACACAAACACACACCGACACACACCGACACACAUCAACACACACCAACACACACCAACACACAUCAACACACACCAACACACACCAACACACACCAACACACACCAACACACAUCAACACACACCAACACACACCAACACACACCAACACACACCAACACACACCAACACACAUCAACACACAUCAACACACAUCAACACACAUCAACACACAUCAACACACACCAACACACACCAACACACAUCAACACACAUCAACACACACCAACACACACCAACACACAUCAACACACACCAACACACACCAACACACAUCAACACACAUCAACACACAUCAACACACACCAACACACAUCAACACACACCAACACACACCAACACACAUCAACACACACCAACACACACCAACACACAUCAACACACACCAACACACAUCAACACACACCAACACACACCAACACACACCAAUCAGACUUCAUGUGAAACUGAAUCUGAUGACAGGUGCAGCUAUUAUCAAUCAAAUCUGACAAAACUUUACAGCCUCCAGGAUCAUUUUCACACUGGCUGCACUCGUUAAGGUGCGCCAGCGUAUAAUUGAGGAGGAUCCAAUAAAUCAAAUGCAAAUAAAUGCUUAAUUUUAUCAUUUAACAUGAUAGAAGACACAUUUGUGAAUCAGGUUUUCAGGGGUUUUAAGAUGCACUCGAGAAAUGAUCGAUGAUGAAAUCUUCAGGCACGUAGAAAAAGGAGCGAAGUGGACAUAAUAAUAAAAACCUCUCAUAAGCUACAAUUUUAUUAAACAAUGUAGACGCGUCUUCACGAGUGUAACCGUUUGAGACAGGACACGUAGACGCUGUGAAGUGUUUGGUCUCUGAGUGAUUCUCCUCAGGCAGGACGAACAGCAGCAGGUGAACUCGGUGAACUAAAACCAGUCGAGCUCGUUGAGCGACUGUUUGGAGGAAAGUAGCUGAUUGUAUUUUAGAGAAAAGUCCACGUUGUGUUGAACUCUAACUUUAAUUUCCCUCCAGCUCAGAAUGUUUCAGACAGAAGUGAGACAUGGAAGACGUUCUGUUUGUGGGGCCGCUGGUGUAAAUCUACAUUUAUAUGCAAACGAGGGAUUCUAACUUAUCUUAUUUAAGUUUUAUUGUGUUUACUUACUCGCUUGUUAUAAUAACGAGGGAACAUUACACUCAUACAGCAUGUGUAGCAAGACGAGCUCAACAUAACUGAUGUAUUGAUGUUUUUGUUGUUGUAUUUUUAUUUUUCUGAGAAACAAAAAGAGGAAUUUCGUCAAAAUGUGCAGCAGAUAAAAGAUAAAAGAUAUACACAGAUUUAUUUUGAAUGUUGUUAUUCAGUAUUAUUGAACCUUAGAUUAAAACAAGAGAAAUCAGGAGCUGCAACAAUGAUAUUAAUUAACCACCAAUUAUUUUAAUAAUGAAUGUUUUGGUUUGAGAAAAUUCUGAAAAUUGUGAAUAUUUUCUGGUUUCCUUUUGUUGUGGACAAAACAAGACGUGAGGAUGAAACACUGAUCGACUGUUUAAACCAUUUUCUGACUAAUCAAUUCUGACUAAUGGAGAAAAUAAUCAAUUAAUUGACAAUAAAAAGUAUAAUUAGCUGCAGGUCUUAAUAGAACUAUAAAAAAUGGGAAAAAUAGGAACACGACCGUCCUUCUGUUUUCAAAGUGUAGAAGAAGUCACAGUCGGUAAAACGUGUUGUUACGUUGAAUUUUCGUUUUGGUGGCAUCGCUCUUUAACUGAUGCUCAACUCUUCAGGUACCGUCAGAGAAACAACAGUGUUUACUCGUAAGAAAUGCAAACAGAAUAAUGCACAGAAUAUAUUGAACAGUCGAGUUUAUGUGAUGAUGCGCCUGAAAUAUCGCUGACCUGUUUGAUUUCUGUCGUCCAUUAACUUCAUGUUUAUGUCGAACAGAAGAGGAUCAGAGCGACCGUUAGAAAACUAAGUUUUGAGUGUUUUUUCCUCAGAAUUUUACUUUAAACUCGGAAUUUUAACUUUAAACUUUGGAAUUCUGAACUUUACACUCAGAAUUCUGAUUGUAAACUUUGGGAUUCUGACUUUGAACUUCAGAAUUCUGACUUUAAACUUGGAAUUCUGUUUGUAAACUUCAGAAUUCUGACUUAAGUUAAAUUGUCAGAACUCAAUUAUCAUUAUUAUUGUUGUUUUUUACAGUGGCCCUAAUCCUCUCUGUGAUGGCACCUAAACGUCACACUUUCUUUAGUAACUUCCUGAAUGUUUGUAAGGAUGGAAAGUUUUGUUCUGACACUAUUUGUGGAGAUUUAGAUGAUUUAAAAUGUGUCUUUUUUUAAACCACCACUAGCGAUGUCCUCCAGUGCCUUACAAAUAAAUUAUAUUUUGAUACUGAUUAAUUCUUUUUUCUCUCAUAUUGAUCUGUGAUAAGGAGCUGAAUUUCAUAUUCAUGGAAGGGAAUGUACUGUAAUGGAAAUGUUUGUUACUUUUUUAUUCAUAUACUUAAAGUCACACUGAAAUGUUGUUUUACGGAGAGUUUAAUGUGUUUUGUUUUGAAACAUGUUUGUGGAGGACGUAACACAGCGAGGGAGAGUUAAAGUAUAGUAAGAGUAAUAUUUUAAUCUUUUAAUGGUCCAAAACAAACUGAACAGAUGUUUUUUCAUUUCAAUGUGACUUCAAGUAUUUUGAGAUGUAUUUUAAAAUGUAAAUAAAAUUAAUUGCAAAUGUAUUUUUAAAUGUAAACAUUAAUUCUAAAAUAUAUUUUGAUGACUUGCUACAGUUUUAUUUUGCGUCCACUUUAUUGCUUCAGUGUUUUAUGUUCUCAGUAUAUUCAUUACAGUAUUUGAGUAAAAGUUUUCUGUUAUCGUCCUUCCCCACAGUUUUUUUAAGUUUUUCUAAAAUUGUAUGGCUUGAUUGAUAACUGCGUAUUGUUCUCAGUCAGAACUUCAGCUUCAGAUACAUUUUUAAAGUUAAAAGUGUUUGAAAGAAUGGAUUGGAAGUGUUUAUGUGUGUUUAGCAUCAGCAGACGUCCAGAAAAGGGCUUGAAAUGAAAAGCGGCCAUCUUGAAAAGCCAGUUUUCUUUAUACAUCUGAGGUUAGCUAGCAUGUGUUUAGCACAAGUCAGGCUUGCUUGCUUACAGAGUAUAUAACAGGUGGUAUUGAGACCAUAUUAGAUUAGAGUUUAUUGUCAUUAUACAAUAUACAAAAAAUUAAAAGGUCCUCACAUUAAGGUGCACAAGAAUACAGACAAGAACAACAAAGACAACACUGCACGGUUCAAAGUCAUAAAGCUCAGCAGUGUGUGCUGAUAUUGUAAAAUAUUUGCCAUAAUUUAAAAUGUAUUUGCCACCUUGCCAAACACAUUAACACAUGUGAAGCAGUAUGUGUGCUACACUUCUAAACAUAAACGAAUAUUGUAAGUUUGCUAGCUAUGUUAGCAGGCUACAAGACGACAAGUAACAAGUGGUAACAGAAAAAACAGCUAACAUGAUACAUAACAAAACUAACUUACUACAAACUAAUAUAAAUUAAUAUUCUAAGGUUUGCUAGCUGCGUUGGCAAACUUGGCUAGCAAACUGGAAGAAGACAAGAAACAUGUGAUAACAACAGCUAACAUGCUAGCUAAAAAAUGCUGAUUUACAAAGAAAUGAAAACAGUCUUUUCUUUUGAUGCCUGGCUAAGUUGGACGGGGUGUGUUGUAACGGUCAGAUAAAGAGGAGUUUUGUUAGCAGGUAUUUGAAAGCCAGUGUUAAAGUUUAUAAAAGUGCUGAGCUAAAGAAAAGCUAGUUUCUUGGGAGCUGUGACUCUACAUACGGUGGUAGAGCAGUAUUAGUGUGUAACUUUGGCAGAUAGCCUUUUCAGACUGGCAGCUAACAGGUUCGCUAACGUAAAGAACAAAACUGUAAUUUCUUCAACAAAACGGUGGAUGAAUUGUGUUGUACAGUCACAAGAGAGAAUAUAUUUGUUUUUUUGCAGCAGGUAUUGAUUUUAAAUAAAUGUCAGAUUGAUUUGACGUCCUAACCCUCUCUGUAUUUAUUCAUACCUCUGCUACCUGCGCGCUGUUCGGCCGCCAAUUGUGUUGCCGUGUUUGAUUUACACUCACACUAUCACAUGUUCAAACACACACGCAGUGCUUUGUGGUUCAGCUCUUUGACUGUGUGUCCACGCAGUAUUUACUGUCUGAAUCAGAGUUGAUGAUGUUGAUGAUGGAGUGAGCAGAGGAAGAAGAGGAGGAGCUGCUGCGUUCACUUUGGUUUUCCUGAAGCCUCAGAUAACGAGAGGAAGAGCAGAGAGUCCCACGUUAAAGCCUCAGCAGCCUCUCUGGAGGAAAAGGUGAGAGAUUUAAUACCUUUAGAGAAACAGAUUGAUUUAGCUUUACGUCUCAACUGACCAGAUUUAUAUCAUGCAGCAGUUAUUGAUUCAAGA
ensembl:lncRNA